rnacentral:rRNA from 1 species
GGCGGCGUGCCUAAUACAUGCAAGUCGAGCGGAAUGAUGAAGAAGCUUGCUUCUUCUGAUUUUAGCGGCGGACGGGUGAGUAACACGUGGGCAACCUACCUUGUAGAUUGGGAUAACUCCGGGAAACCGGGGCUAAUACCGAAUAAUCCAUUUUGCUUCAUGGCAAGAUGUUGAAAGGCGGCUUCGGCUGUCACUACGAGAUGGGCCCGCGGCGUAUUAGCUAGUUGGUAGGGUAAUGGCCUACCAAGGCGACGAUACGUAGCCGACCUGAGAGGGUGAUCGGCCACACUGGGACUGAGACACGGCCCAGACUCCUACGGGAGGCAGCAGUAGGGAAUCUUCCACAAUGGACGAAAGUCUGAUGGAGCAACGCCGCGUGAGUGAAGAAGGUUUUCGGAUCGUAAAACUCUGUUGUAAGGGAAGAACACGUACGAGAGUAACUGCUCGUACCUUGACGGUACCUUAUUAGAAAGCCACGGCUAACU